rnacentral:misc_RNA from 1 species
AAGUCGUAACAAGGUAACCGUAGGUGAACCUGCGGUUGGAUCAUUAACGAAUGUAUCCGGCUUUGGCCGUGUGUUUUUUCUCUCGGGAAAAAGCACAUCCUACCCACCUUUUGUGAACUGUCUCUGGCAGAGCAUGGGGGCUCUUCUUUCGGGAGGUGUUUCUUGUGCUUUGUCACUUGCUCCAACAUUUUUCUAUUUUAUAUCUGUCUUACAUUUUAGUAUUUAAAUAUACAAACAACUUUUGGCAACGGAUCUCUUGGCUCUC